rnacentral:rRNA from 1 species
CCUACGGGAGGCAGCAGUGGGGAAUAUUGCACAAUGGGGGAAACCCUGAUGCAGCGACGCCGCGUGAGUGAUGAAGUAUUUCGGUUUGUAAAGCUCUAUCAGCAGGGAAGAAAAUGACGGUAUCUGACUAAGAAGCACCGGCUAACUACGUGCCAGCAGCCGCGGUAAUACGUAGGGGGCAAGCGUUACCCGGAUUUACUGGGCGUAAAGGGAGCGUAGACGGGUAAGCAAGUCAGAAGUGAAAACCUAGGGCUCAACCAUGGGACUGCAUGUGAAACUGAGUAGCUAGAGUGCAGGAGAGGUAAGCGGAAUUCCUGGUGUAGCGGUGAAAUGCGUAGAGAUUAGGAGGAACACCAGUGGCGAAGGCGGCUUACUGGACUGUAACUGACGUUGAGGCGCGAAAGCGUGGGGAGCAAACAGGAUUAGAUACCCGAGUAGUC